GGCGGCGUGACGGCGCCAUAUUGGCUCCUCCUCAACCGCAGUUUCCUGCAGACUGUUUCAAUGGAGACCUCAACACGGAAGCGUAUGAAUGAAGAAUGUUAGUAAAUAUUGACAAAUCUCAGCUGAAAAGGAAUUAGACACAACUCCAAAAAGGGGAAACAAGGAGCCACGAGGAAGAAUAACACAAACGCCUGUCUGCAUGGACGCACAGCCAGAGUGAGUAAUUGUGUUUUCUCCUCCCACCUCUCCUCCGCAGAGAAACAAUCCAUUAAAAUUGUGUCCAUUUCACUCCUGCAUCGUGUCUUUCUGCUCACCUGUCUGGGGACGAACACCGCGGGGCAGAGCAGACUGAGCAAACACCAAAAGGGGCCAUUAUUAUUAUUAUUUUUUUUUUUCUUUCAAAUCAGCAUCUUCAUGUCGAGAGACACUUCCAAGAAACACACACAUGAUGAAAAAUGUAACAGAGCAGUGUGAGCUCUUCUCCUUUUCCUCGGAUCCAGCCCACCUGUGUGUCAGAGACAGAGUAUAAGGUUAGCCCUCCCCCCCCCCCCUGCCCGGCGAUCAGCGCCCACACGGCAGGUGUCCAGUGGAGCGUGUGAACGGGGUCACGGCUGGGAGCGGGAGGACGGAGAGUGGGAGCUGCCGUCCAUGAAUGGAGGAGAGGGAGAGCGAGUCCCGAGGCCGCCUGCUCUGCAUUAACCAUAUCUGAGGGUGUGUAAUGUAGUCUGCCUGCCCUCUCUGCUGUUUGUUUUCUUCUGCAGACGCUUUAAGGGGCCGAACACAGCGAGACGAUUUAUGCUCUGCUGAAGGCUGCAGUGUUUCUCUUUGCAGCUGUGUGUGCUCUGAAUAAACUGAGCAAUGCCACUUCUCUGGUUUUAUUGCAUUUCUCUACUCUCGUCUAAUGUUUUUUUUUUUUUUUUUUAAAUACCAGCAGAAGGAGAAAGUAAUGGUCUGAUCAAUAUAUUUCUGUUUGCUGUAAUGAUCGUUCUGUUUCCUGCUGCAUGAGUCAGUGAAGAGCAAAUGCAUCAUCAGAGCGGCUCCCCUUCUGUGCGGAUGUUAAUAUUCGUCUGUUAUCAGAGUCUCAGGUCGAGGAGCUCCUAGAUAUUCACAUUUGCACAAAUACAUUUCCACCACUUGAAUUUAAUUAACACGGUAAUGGAUGCUCUCACCUUCUGCACACAGGUGUGGAUAUAAAUGUUCAAUUGUGUUUGUAAUUGAGUGAAAAUGAAGC